rnacentral:rRNA from 1 species
AUUGAACGCUGGCGGCAGGCCUAACACAUGCAAGUCGAGCGGAUGAAGGGAGCUUGCUCCUGGAUUCAGCGGCGGACGGGUGAGUAAUGCCUAGGAAUCUGCCUGGUAGUGGGGGAUAACGUCCGGAAACGGGCGCUAAUACCGCAUACGUCCUGAGGGAGAAAGUGGGGGAUCUUCGGACCUCACGCUAUCAGAUGAGCCUAGGUCGGAUUAGCUAGUUGGUGGGGUAAAGGCCUACCAAGGCGACGAUCCGUAACUGGUCUGAGAGGAUGAUCAGUCACACUGGAACUGAGACACGGUCCAGACUCCUACGGGAGGCAGCAGUGGGGAAUAUUGGACAAUGGGCGAAAGCCUGAUCCAGCCAUGCCGCGUGUGUGAAGAAGGUCUUCGGAUUGUAAAGCACUUUAAGUUGGGAGGAAGGCAGUAAGUUUAUACCUAGCUGUUUUGACGUUACCAACAGAAUAAGCACCGGCUAACUUCGUG